rnacentral:lncRNA from 1 species
AAGAAAAUGCAAAGAAAGGGGAGAGGAGAACGUCAAAAACCAGGGAUUAUAGGGAAAAAUAAAAAUGAAAUAAAAAUGAAAUUAAAAGAAAUUAUCCUAACUUCCUACUAAUACCUAAAUCCCUCGUAAUCCUACUCAACCACGUCUAACUACCUCAAAAUUCCACUUCCACCAAACUAUCACACAAUUGAAGCAAAAAUUAACCCCCACACUCAUUGCAAGGAUUUGAACACAAGACCUUCAACAAAAUAACACUUUACCACUCGAACCA